UAGGGCCUACGGGGGGCAGCAGUGGGGGAUAUUGCACAAUGGGGGGAACCCUGAUGCAGCGACGCCGCGUGGGUGAAGAAGCGCCUCGGCGCGUAAAGCCCUAUCGGCAGGGAAGAAGAAAUGACAGUACCUGACCAAGAAGCCCCGGCUAACUACGUGCCAGCAGCCGCGGUAAUACGUAGGGGGCAAGCGUUAUCCGGAUUUACUGGGUGUAAAGGGAGCGUAGACGGUUAUGUAAGUCUGGAGUGAAAGCCCGGGGCCCAACCCCGGGACUGCUUUGGAAACUGUGUAACUGGAGUACAGGG
rnacentral:rRNA from 1 species